rnacentral:rRNA from 1 species
GUGGGGAAUUUUGGACAAUGGGCGAAAGCCUGAUCCAGCCAUGCCGCGUGCAGGAUGAAGGCCUUCGGGUUGUAAACUGCUUUUGUACGGAACGAAAAGACUCCUUCUAAUAAAGGGGGUCCAUGACGGUACCGUAAGAAUAAGCACCGGCUAACUACGUGCCAGCAGCCGCGGUAAUACGUAGGGUGCAAGCGUUAAUCGGAAUUACUGGGCGUAAAGCGUGCGCAGGCGGUUAUAUAAGACAGAUGUGAAAUCCCCGGGCUCAACCUGGGAACUGCAUUUGUGACUGCAAGGCUGGAGUGCGGCAGAGGGGGAUGGAAUUCCGCGUGUAGCAGUGAAAUGCGUAGAUAUGCGGAGGAACACCGAUGGUGAAGGCAAUCCCCUGGGCCUGCACUGACGCUCAUGCACGAAAGCAUGGGGAGCAAACAGGAUUAGAUACCCUAGUAGUCC